AACGAACGCUGGCGGCAUGCCUAACACAUGCAAGUCGAACGAAGGCUUCGGCCUUAUUGGCGCACGGGUGCGUCACGCGUCGGGAGCUGCCCUUGUGUUCGGAAUACCAACUGGAAACGGCUGCUAAUACCGGAUGGUGACGAAUAUCCAAUGAUUUAUCGCCAGAGGAUGUGCCCGCGUUGGAUUAGGUAGUUGGUGGGGUAAAGGCCUCCCAAGCCGACGAUCCAUAGCUGGUCUGAGAGGCUGCUCAGCCACACUGGGACUGGGAAACGGCCCAGACUCUUACGGGAGGCAGCAGUGGGUAAUAUUGGACAGUGGGCGCAAGCCUGAUCCAGCAAUGCCGCGUGAGCGAUGAAGGCCCUAGGGUUGUAAAGCGCUUUUACCCGGGAAGAUAAUGACUGUACCGGGAGAAUAAGCCCCGGCUAACUCCGUG
rnacentral:rRNA from 1 species